rnacentral:rRNA from 1 species
UCUUGACAUCCACAGAACUUUCCAGAGAUGGAUUGGUGCCUUCGGGAACUGUGAGACAGGUGCUGCAUGGCUGUCGUCAGCUCGUGUUGUGAAAUGUUGGGUUAAGUCCCGCAACGAGCGCAACCCUUAUCCUUUGUUGCCAGCGGUCCGGCCGGGAACUCAAAGGAGACUGCCAGUGAUAAACUGGAGGAAGGUGGGGAUGACGUCAAGUCAUCAUGGCCCUUACGACCAGGGCUACACACGUGCUACAAUGGCGCAUACAAAGAGAAGCGACCUCGCGAGAGCAAGCGGACCUCAUAAAGUGCGUCGUAGUCCGGAUUGGAGUCUGCAACUCGACUCCAUGAAGUCGGAAUCGCUAGUAAUCGUGGAUCAGAAUGCCACGGUGAAUACGUUCCCGGGCCUUGUACACACCGCCCGUCACACCAUGGGAGUGGGUUGCAAAAGAAGUAGGUAGCUUAACCUUCGGGAGGGCGCUUACCACUUUGUGAUUCAUGACUGGGGUGAAGUCGUAACAAGGUAACCGUAGGGGAACC